AGUGUAGUAUCUGUUCUUAUCAGU
rnacentral:piRNA from 4 species